CAUGACUAUACACAGCUCCUAAACUGGAGUGGUCAAUUCCAUCUUGACACACGCACUGACAAGUCAAGUACUUGACUACACCUAGCAGCCUUCUGUCACUAAAUUAAAAAUUCAGAUAGUCCAGUACCUAAGUGCAGUGGGUUGCUUGUAAGUCACCGUGGUGGUCUCAGAUCGGAGGGAUAUUUAUACCCAUAUUCUAUCGGAGCAAAUCUUG
rnacentral:lncRNA from 1 species